rnacentral:rRNA from 1 species
AGAUUGAACGCUGGCGGCGUGCCUAACACAUGCAAGUCGAGCGGUAACAGGUGUAGCAAUACAUGCUGACGAGCGGCGAACGGGUGAGUAAUGCUUUGGAAUCUUCCCAGUAGUGGGGAAUAACCAGUCGAAAGAUUGGCUAAUACCGCAUACGUCUGUAAAGGGAAAGCGGGGGCUCGUAAGACCUCGCGCUAUUGGAUGAGCCAAAGUCGGAUUAGCUAGUUGGUGGGGUAAUGGCCUACCAAGGCGACAAUCCGUAGCUGGUCUGAGAGGACGACCAGCCACACCGGAACUGAGACACGGUCCGGACUCCUACGGGAGGCAGCAGUGGGGAAUAUUGGACAAUGGGGGAAACCCUGAUCCAGCGACGCCGCGUGUGUGAAGAAGGCCUGCGGGUUGUAAAGCACUUUUAGUGGGGACAAAAGCUACGGACUAAUAUUCUGUGGUCUUGAUUUAACCCAAAGAAAAGCACCGGCUAACUCUGUGCCAGCAGCCGC